GAUGAAGAACGCAGCGAAAUGCGAUAAGUAAUGUGAAUUGCAGAAUUCAGUGAAUCAUCGAAUCUUUGAACGCACAUUGCGCCCCUUGGUAUUCCGAGGGGCAUGCCUGUUCGAGCGUCAUUAUAACCCUCAAGCUCAGCUUGGUGUUGGGGCCUGCUGCACUGGCAGCCCUUAAAAUCAGUGGCGGCGCCAUCUGGCUCUAAGCGUAGUAAUUCUUCUCGCUAUGGAGUCCUGGUGGAUGCUUGCCAUCAACCCCCAAUUUUUCUAUGGUUGACCUCGGAUCAGGUAGGGAUACCCGCUGAACUUAAGCAUAUCAAUAAGCGAGGA
rnacentral:misc_RNA from 1 species